rnacentral:rRNA from 1 species
UAGGGAAUAUUGCAAAUGGGCGAAAGCCUGAUGUAGCAACGCCGCGUGUGCGAUGAAGGUCUUCGGAUUGUAAAGCACUUUUUGGAGGGAUGAGGAAGGACAGUACCUCCAGAAUAAGCCUCGGCUAACUACGUGCCAGCAGCCGCGGUAACACGUAGGAGGCAAGCGUUAUUCGGAUUUACUGGGCGUAAAGCGCGUGCAGGCGGUUUGGAAAGUUGGAUGUGAAAGCUCCUGGCUCAACUGGGAGAGGUCGUUCAAAACUUCCAGGCUUUAGAGUGGUAGAGGGAGGUGGGAUUCCGGGUGUAGUGGGGGAAUGCGUAGAUAUCCGGAGGAAAACCAGUGGCGAAAGCGGCCUCCUGGACCACUUCUGACGCUCA